UACGGGGGGGGGCAAGCGUUGUUCGGAAUUACUGGGCGUAAAGGGCUCGUAGGCGGCCAACUAAGUCGGAUGUGAAAUCCCCAGGCUCAACCUGGGAACUGCAUCCGAUACUGGAUGGCUUGAGUUUGGGAGAGGGAUGCGGAAUUCCAGGUGUAGCGGUGAAAUGCGUAGAUAUCUGGAGGAAUACCGGUGGCGAAGGCGGCGUUCUGGACCAUUACUGACACUGAAUCGCGAAAGCUAGGGGAGCAAACGGG
rnacentral:rRNA from 1 species